UACGAAGGGGGGCUAGCGUUGCUCGGAAUCACUGGGCGUAAAGGGUGCGUAGGCGGGUCUUUUAAGUCAGGGGUGAAAUCCUGGAGCUCAACUCCAGAACUGCCUUUGAUACUGAAGAUCUUGAGUUCGGGAGAGGUGAGUGGAACUGCGAGUGUAGAGGUGAAAUUCGUAGAUAUUCGCAAGAACACCAGUGGCGAAGGCGGCUCACUGGCCCGAUACUGACGCUGAGGUGCGAAAGCGUGGGGAGCAAACAGG
rnacentral:rRNA from 1 species